AUGACUUUGUAUCACUGUGGUACACGUUCGGUGGAGGAACCAGACUGGAAUUUGGAAGUUUUUGUACGGCGGCUCAAUGACUUUGUAUCACUGUGGUACACGUUCGGUGGAGGAACCAGACUGGAAUUUGGAAGUGAUGUCCGUCCCACCCUGACGGUGCUGCCCCCCUCCAGAGAGGAGCUGCUGAAGGGGAAGGCCACGCUCAUGUGCCUGGCCAACAAGGGCUUCCCCUCAGACUGGAGUCUGGCCUGGAAGGUGGACGGCAGCAGCAGCAGCAGCUGGGAGGAGAGCAGGAGCCCCGGGGUGCUGGAGAAGGACGGCAAAUACAGCUGGAGCAGCACCCUGAGGCUCCCUGCAGACCAGUGGGAGAAGGUGGGCUCUGUGACCUGUGAGGCCACCCAGGGCUCCCAGACUCCACUCUCAGAGACACUGAGGAGAGACCAGUGUUCCCAGUCCUGACCUGACUCACUGGGACUCUGCUACUGGUUUCACUCUGAUACUGAUCUCAGUCUGCUCUCUGCUACUCUUUCUUUCUCUCUACAGAUUCAUCACAAUUUGAAAGUUCAUUUUGUGUUGCUUGCAGUAAUGCUGAUAUUCUCUGUAUGUUAAAACAAUAAAGACAAAUGUAUCAACUUAA